CGGACACCCCGCGCCCCUCGGCCCCUACCUGCCCCUUGACCAGGCUGGCGGCGAACUGCCUCAUGACGGCCUCCACGGUGUAGGCGCUGGACCAGCCGCGGGGAGUGAGCAGCUCCAUGCAGAUGGCACCGCCGUCCAGCACGUAGCCGUUCUCCAGGCGCGGGCUGAGCACCCUCAUGAAGGGCGGCGAGAAGGGGAAGUUGUCGGGGAAGGAACUGUGAUCUUGCUGAACAUGCUGAUCCUGGAGAAGCUGCUGCUGCCACCAGCUGGUAGAUCACCGGUCCUUGGUUGGAGAGAUGUCCCAGGAAGACAGACAGGCCAUGAAAAAACUAACAUCUACAGAAAGGGAAGAAAACAAGAAAGAAAGAAAGAAGAAAGAAUGCAAAAAAGAAGAAAGAGAAAGCAUAAAAAGGCAAAUCAGUCUUACUUAUUGCUAUUAUGUAAUGAAUAUUCUUCUUGGAGGAGAUAAUAUAUAUGUCUGGCUUACAAGCCAGUAAUUUCCUGCUCUCUCCGUGGAGAUAAAGGAUUUAAAGCAAGCUAGCCUGCUCCAUACUUCUACUGGAUAUGUUUAAAGCACCCUUUCCCUUAAGCAAAGAUGGAUAUCAUGUUUGAAUUCCAGCUUCUUGUGCCUGCGGAGCCACAUCUGACACAACUAAAUAUAUUUAGAUUUUACUUCCAAAUUCUUUCUCCUUUUUGCUCAUAUUCAGAUUUAAUCUGAAAUACACCAUGUUGGAAUUUCUUCCCUUCCAAAUACUAGAAA